rnacentral:rRNA from 1 species
AUUGAACGCUGGCGGCAGGCCUAACACAUGCAAGUCGAGCGGAUGAAGGGAGCUUGCUCCUGGAUUCAGCGGCGGACGGGUGAGUAAUGCCUAGGAAUCUGCCUGGUAGUGGGGGAUAACGUCCGGAAACGGGCGCUAAUACCGCAUACGUCCUGAGGGAGAAAGUGGGGGAUCUUCGGACCUCACGCUAUCAGAUGAGCCUAGGUCGGAUUAGCUAGUUGGUGGGGUAAAGGCCUACCAAGGCGACGAUCCGUAGCUGGUCUGAGAGGAUGAUCAGUCACACUGGAACUGAGACACGGUCCAGACUCCUACGGGAGGCAGCAGUGGGGAAUAUUGGACAAAGGGCGAAAGCCUGAUCCAGCCAUGUCGCGUGUGUGAAGAAGGUCUUCGGAUUGUAAAGCACUUUAAGUUGGGAGGAAGGGCAGUAAGUUAAUACCUUGCUGUUUUGACGUUACCAACAGAAUAAGCACCGGCUAACUUCGUG